GCUAUGAGAAAUCCCGGAGGUUAAACAACGUAGCAGGCAUUGUCGCUAACACCCUGAGGUUGUCUCCUGUGACUUCGCCCUACGGAUCACCCUGCCCACCGCGGCGCUCGCCUAUCCCCUCCAUCCUGUGAGCCGCCCGGCCCCCUCUAACAAACCACUCUCGUUUGAUAUUACAUCGGAACUUUUAGGUGUUGUGGCUAGUGGAUAAAUACUUAACUUUGUAGCUAAGACUGCUUGAGCAACUCGUCACUUUCCCCCCUUCUCCUUGAAGAUAGAUGUACUUAGCUAACUCGUCAGUUUUCUUGUGUCACUCAGAGCUCAAUGUUGACCCAGAGUAAAAUUAUUCUGACUGUAUAGUCCAGAAGCAGCCAUAACAUUUAAUGAAGCAUGUGUAAAAUAAUCAGGGACAUUUGAUGUGUGUAUAUUUAGAUACCUUUUGAAAAAAGACAUCCUUCCAAAAAGGAAACUGUGACUUUUAUCUUUUAUUGUUUGGGUUGGCGGGGCGUCCAGGUGGAGGACUGCUCGCUCACGUCUGUUGCUCCUUACCUGCUGCUCAUGUUUUAUCAUCGUGUAAGCAUCUUCGCAAGAAAUGUUUUGAGGUGAGAAGGGACAAGGCAGACCGUGGGUAGAGCUUAUGGAUAAAUAUAUACGUACUAUAAAUAUGUACAUAUAUUUCAAGGAUUCUUUUCUUAAUUCAAUGUUGUUAUGUUGGAGUUUACAACUUGCCCUGUGUCUCAUUUUGCAUGUCAGCUUCACCAGCAAUCCACCGAGAAGACUAAAAAGACAGAAAGCCCAGCUUGGCGUCUGUUCCUCUCCGCAUACCAUUCAUUUCCUAUUUGAAUGACGGGGGAAUAAGUCACCUGUGCGAGGACCUAUUGCCGUGGGAGGACACACCCUGUCUCAUUUGGAGCCACUCCUGGACGAUACGGAUGGAGAGGCACGCAAAAAAAACGAUUGACUGACGGCAGCCCAGCCAGCGGCUCAGUGCGCAGGAGAGGAAGUCAAACAGACAUCGUGGGAGAACUUAACUGAGAACCUGAUUUGUCACAUUUUGGGACUUUUUUUCUGUUCUGGAACAAUGAAGGGGAAAAAAGUAGAAUAAAUAAAAAUGGACACAACCUUAAUCGAGACUAUCUACUGUAUGGAUACAUGCUUCUGUAAAUAAGAAAAUAACACAGCAUGCCUGGGCCAAGAGCCUCCGUCCACACAUCUGUCCACCAGUGGCGAGCUAGGUAACGAGGUGUUCUUUCACUUGAUUUGCUGUGGUAACCCCCCCUCGCAAUAAGUGUAUCAAGAUUAAUCAGCCGAUAAAAAUUGAGUGUAUUCAUAAAUGAGAUUCUAUAUACAGUGCAGAGAAACAAAUGUGCUAAGUUGAAUAAAUGUAUCGGAUCGGUCAUCUCACUUUUGUUUCCUUUGGUGAUUUUCAGUAGGUGAAUUGCUCUGCGGUGCGUUAAAGUGUGUGUGGGUUGGUGGGAGUGUGCGUGUGUUUGUGUUUAUCCUAAAGCACCAAGGUCAGAACCGCAGUCUAAUAGGCCAGAGACCAAAUGAAGGUACUUGAUGCCGUCACUCUUCCAGUUAGUUUUAGCACAAAAAAAAAUGAGACAGAGGUCCCCUGUGAUGUGGUUGCCAUUGUAGAAGUCCCUCCCAAACCCACCCCCUUGUGCCGUGCAUUUAAACAUGCAAACACCCUGCGAUUGUAAUGGAGAUCGUUUUUUUCCUCACACACUAAAAUUAUCCUCACUAUAAUAGUCCUCAUCACUCCUGGUGGCUACACAAAUAAAAACUUCCAACGUUUCUGAAGCAAAAGUGUAGCAGAAGUUUAACUAAGUCCCAAAGUGGAACUUCUAGAAUGGCUAUAACUGCACAGUAGCAAUCUUUCACACCCAAACAAUCAGACCGGAUUUGCAAAAAGCACCUGUAAAAAAAAAACCGCCGAUCCGCACUGUGAUUUCUGUUAUAAACAAAGAUGGCGACCAGGUCAAAUUCAAGCUUGUUGCAGCUCUAGAAAGCUGAUGGAAAAAGGACUGGAUGUCGGCACAACUUUUGUGUCACGUCGGCUGCACACAAGCGUCGUACAAUCCUCCUUGAGUAGUGCACACACUGCUUUACUCUUAGAACAGAUUAAAGGGGUACCGUUCUUUGUGUCUUUGUAAGAUGACGUUUUAACUUGCAAAAAAAGGUGGAAAAUACAUGUUGACUCUGGAACUUGUAUUUUUGUGUCUCUUACUGUGGGGUACAUUGCGCUUACCUGUAAAAGUUAUGGUAGUCCAAUGCUGUGCUUCUCCACCGUUUCCUCAAAAUGUCACGCUUUUUGAUCCAAGUUCAUGUUUUACUGUGAGGAAGAUUCUAGUUUGAAGUCUUUUUCUGUGGAGCCCUUAGUUGGCAUUCUAAAGUGCAUGCAGAAAAAAUAAACCCAUUAUGUCAAAUUGUUAAAAAAAAGGACGACAUACUGUUUAUCACGUUCAAAACAUUGUGUAUAGAGAAAAGUAAAUACCACGUGAGAGAGUCACAUAAACUAUUUAUCUUUAAUUCAUUGUUUCUGUCUUUACUUGGUCUGACCUUUUCUCUUGCUGAAUUCUCUGAAACGUAAAAAAUAAUCACAGAAAAUAUGGGUUCAUCUUUCCACGUCCAAAGCAGGAGGCCCCACACUUUUCCGGCUCGCAGGCUACUUUUCAACCUUGGUGGGGUUUGGGGGGGUUGGGUAGUAGUCUGGUGAACAAGUAGUAGUAGAGAAGUGUAGACUUGCACUGAUUGGAGUCAGCCAGGGUUGCUUUUGAAUUAAAUGAAAUGCGUCUGUUAGUCAGCAAGGCUCACUUAUUAGCAUUAGCCUUAGUUCUCCGUUAGCUCCUGCGAUCGACGCACAUGCGUGAGGUGAAGACAUUUUUUGAGGCUCGUUGUUUUAUUCACAUCAACUCGUUUUGCGCUGUUGGAGCGCGUCACCGC
ensembl:lncRNA